ACACGACUCUCGGCAACGGAUAUCUCGGCUCUCGCAUCGAUGAAGAACGUAGCGAAAUGCGAUACCUGGUGUGAAUUGCAGAAUCCCGUGAACCAUCGAGUCUUUGAACGCAAGUUGCGCCCGAGGCCAUCCGGUCGAGGGCACGCCUGCCUGGGCGUCACGC
rnacentral:rRNA from 1 species